rnacentral:rRNA from 1 species
CAGUCGCCGCGGUAAUACGGAGGGGGCUAGCGUUGCUCGGAAUUACUGGGCGUAAAGGGCGCGUAGGCGGACUGAUAAGUCAGGGGUGAAAUCCCAAGGCUCAACCUUGGAACUGCCUUUGAUACUGUUUGUCUUGAGUUCGAGAGAGGUAAGUGGAACUGCGAGUGUAGAGGUGAAAUUCGUAGAUAUUCGGAAGAACACCAGUGGCGAAGGCGACACACUGGCCCAUUACUGACGCUGAGGCUCGAAAGCGUGGGGAGCAAACAGGAUUAGAGACCCGUGUAGUCCCUGUCUCUUAUAC